GGACUACUCGGGUUUCUAAUCCUGUUUGCUCCCCACGCUUUCGUGCCUGAGCGUCAAUCUCAGCCCAGGGGGCUGCCUUCGCCAUCGGUGUUCCGCCGCAUCUCUACGCAUUUCACUGCUACACGCGGCAUUCCACCCCCCUCUGCCAGAUUCCAGUCCCCUAGUUUCCACUGCCAUUCCCAGGUUGAGCCCGGGGCUUUCACAACGGACUUGGAGAACCGCCUGCGCACGCUUUACGCCCAGUAAUUCCGAUUAACGCUCGCACCCUACGUAUUACCGCGGCGGCUGGCAC
rnacentral:rRNA from 2 species